rnacentral:rRNA from 1 species
AUUGAACGCUGGCGGCAGGCUUAACACAUGCAAGUCGAGCGAGCGGCGGACGGGUGAGUAAUGUCUGGGAAACUGCCUGAUGGAGGGGGAUAACUACUGGAAACGGUCGCUAAUACCGCAUACCAUAAGUUGUGCCCAUAUGGGAUUAGCUUGUAGGUGUGGUAAUGGCUCACCUAGGCGACGAUCCAUGGCUGGUCUGAGAGGAUGACCAGCCACACUUGAACGGAGCAACGGCCCAGACUCCUACGUGAGGCAGCAGUGGGGAAUUUUGCACAAUGGGCGCAAGCCUGAUGCAGCCAUGCCGCGUGUGUGAAGAAGGCCUUCGGGUUGUAAAGCACUUUCAGCGGGGAGGCGUUACUCGCAGAAGAAGCACCGGCUAACUCCGUGCCAGCAGCCGCGGUAAUUC